AUCAACUUUCGAUGGUAGGAUAGAGGCCUACCAUGGUUUUAACGGGUAUCGGGGAAUUAGGGUUCGAUUCCGGAGAGGGAGUCUGAGAAACGGCUACCACUUCUAAGGAAGGCAGCAGGCGCUCAAAUUACCCAAUCCCGACACGGGGAGGUAGUGACAAUAAAUAACAAUACAGGGCCUUUACAGGUCUUGUAAUUGGAAUGAGUACAAUUUAAAUCUCUUAACGAGGAACAAUUGGAGGGCAAGUCUGGUGCCAGCAGCCGCGGUAAUUCCAGCUCCAAUAGCGUAUAUUAAAGUUGUUGCAGUUAAAAAGCUCGUAGUUGAAUUUUGGAUUCUUCCAAUUGGUCCAUCUUUUAGAUGAGUACUGGUUGUGUGGGGUCUAUCCGCCUGGUAAUACGUAAUGUCCUUUAUUGGAUGUUGCGGGUAGUCAGGACCUUUACCUUGAAAAAAUUAGAGUGUUUAAAGCAGGCUUAUGCCGGAAUACAUUAGCAUGGAAUAAUAGAAUAGGACGAAGUUGUUUUAUUUUGUUGGUUUCUAGGACAACCGUAAUGAUUAAUAGGGAUAGUUGGGGGCAUUAGUAUUCAAUUGUCAGAGGUGAAAUUCUUGGAUUUAUUGAAGACUAACUACUGCGAAAGCAUUUGCCAAGGAUGUUUUCAUUAAUCAAGAACGAAAGUUAGGGGAUCGAAGACGAUCAGAUACCGUCGUAGUCUUAACCAUAAACUAUGCCGACUAGGGAUCGGGCGAUGUUGUUUCCAUGACUCGCUCGGCACCUUAUGGGAAACCAAAGUGUUUGGGUUC
rnacentral:rRNA from 1 species